rnacentral:ncRNA from 2 species
AUUUAAAUGAAUAAACUAACUUGUAUAUACUUGUGUAUGUAUCGGGCAAGAGUCUCUACGGUUAACCGUUAUUAACCGCUACAAGUUAAAGAUAUAGAGCG